ACGCUGGCGGAAUGCUUUCACAUGCAAGUCGAACGGCAGCACGGGAGCUUGCUCCUGGUGGCGAGUGGCGAACGGGUGAGUAAUGCGUCGGAACGUACCGAGUAAUGGGGGAUAACGCAGCGAAAGUUGUGCUAAUACCGCAUACGCCCUGAGGGGGAAAGUGGGGGAUCGCAAGACCUCACGUUAUUCGAGCGGCCGACGUCUGAUUAGCUAGUUGGUGGGGUAAUGGCUCACCAAGGCGACGAUCAGUAGCGGGUCUGAGAGGAUGAUCCGCCACACUGGGACUGAGACACGGCCCAGACUCCUACGGGAGGCAGCAGUGGGGAAUUUUGGACAAUGGGGGCAACCCUGAUCCAGCCAUUCCGCGUGAGUGAAGAAGGCCUUCGGGUUGUAAAGCUCUUUCAGCUGGAAAGAAACGGUGAGCUCUAACAUAGCUUGCUAAUGACGGUACCAGCAGAAGAAGCACCGGCUAACUACGUGCCAGCAGCCGCGGUAAUACGUAGGGUGCGAGCGUUAAUCGGAAUUACUGGGCGUAAAGCGUGCGCAGGCGGAUUGUUAAGCAAGAUGUGAAAUCCCCGGGCUUAACCUGGGAAUGGCAUUUUGAACUGGCAGUCUAGAGUGUGUCAGAGGGGGGUGGAAUUCCACGUGUAGCAGUGAAAUGCGUAGAGAUGUGGAGGAACACCGAUGGCGAAGGCAGCCCCCUGGGAUAACACUGACGCUCAUGUACGAAAGCGUGGGUAGCAAACAGGAUUAGAUACCCUGGUAGUCCACGCCCUAAACGAUGUCAACUGGUUGUUGGGGGAGUGAAAUCCCUUAGUAACGAAGCUAACGCGUGAAGUUGACCGCCUGGGGAGUACGGUCGCAAGAUUAAAACUCAAAGGAAUUGACGGGGACCCGCACAAGCGGUGGAUGAUGUGGAUUAAUUCGAUGCAACGCGAAAAACCUUACCUACCCUUGACAUGUCCAGAACCCUGCAGAGAUGCGGGGGUGCCCGAAAGGGAAUUGGAACACAGGUGCUGCAUGGCUGUCGUCAGCUCGUGUCGUGAGAUGUUGGGUUAAGUCCCGCAACGAGCGCAACCCUUAUCAUUAGUUGCUACGCAAGGGCACUCUAAUGAGACUGCCGGUGACAAACCGGAGGAAGGUGGGGAUGACGUCAAGUCCUCAUGGCCUUAUGGUAGGCUUCCCCGUCAUACAAUGGUCGGUACAGAGGUUGCCAACCGCGAGUGAGCCAUCCAGAAGCCAUCGUAGUCCGAUUGUUCUCUGCAACUCGAGAGCAUGAAGUCGGAAUCGCUAGUAAUCGCGGAUCAGCAUGUCGCGGUGAAUACGUUCCCGGGUCUUGUACACACCGCCCGUCACACCAUGGGAGUGGAAUCUGCCAGAAGUAGGUAGCCUAACCGCAAGGAGGGCGCUACCACGGUGG
rnacentral:rRNA from 1 species